rnacentral:rRNA from 1 species
UACAGAGGGUGCAAGCGUUAAUCGGAUUUACUGGGCGUAAAGCGCGCGUAGGUGGCUAAUUAAGUCAAAUGUGAAAUCCCCGAGCUUAACUUGGGAAUUGCAUUCGAUACUGGUUAGCUAGAGUAUGGGAGAGGAUGGUAGAAUUCCAGGUGUAGCGGUGAAAUGCGUAGAGAUCUGGAGGAAUACCGAUGGCGAAGGCAGCCAUCUGGCCUAAUACUGACACUGAGGUGCGAAAGCAUGGGGAGCAAAC